rnacentral:rRNA from 1 species
GCAAGAAGCCCUGACCUUAUGGGACGGGUGCACUUAUUAGAGCAAACCAAUCCCAAUUCGUUGGGUACACAUUGGUGAAUCUGAAUAACUGAGCGGAUCGCACUGGUCUUUGCACCGGCGACAUAUCCUUCAAGUGUCUGCCUUAUCAACUUUCGAUGGUAGUUUAUAUGCCUACCAUGGUUGUAACGGGUAACGGAAAAUCAGGGUUUGAUUCCGGAGAGGGCGCCUGAGAAAUGGCGACCACUUCUAAGGAAGGCAGCAGGCGCGUAACUUACCCACUCUCAGAUUGAGGAGGUAGUGACGAAAAAUAUCGAGUUGGCGGUUUCUGACUGCCAGCAUCGGAAUGAGAACAAUCUAAAUCUGUUAUCGAGCACCUAGCAGAGGGCAAGUCUGGUGCCAGCAGCCGCGGUAAUUCCAGCUCUGCAAGUGUAUAUCAAUGUUGCUGUGGUUAAAAAGCUCGUAGUUGGAUCUGCGUGACCAGGGUCCGGUCCGGCCUCCGUGUCGUGUACUGGUUACCCGUCACUUACCACUGUUGGUUUUGCCCUGAUGCCCUUAACCGGGUGUCAGUGGCUGGCUAGCGAGUUUACUUUGAAAAAAUUAGAGUGCUCAAAACAGGCGCUUUGCCUGAAUACUUCUGCAUGGAAUAAUGGAAAAGGACCUCGGUUCUGUUUGUUGGUUUUGGAGCAUGAGGUAAUGAUUAAGAGGAACAGACGGGGGCAUUCGUAUUCCAACGUUAGAGGUGAAAUUCUUGGAUCGUUGGAAGACGAACUACUGCGAAGGCAUUUGCCAAGAAUGUUUUCAUUAAUCAAGAACGAAAGUUAGAGGUUCGAAGGCGAUCAGAUACCGCCCU